rnacentral:rRNA from 1 species
UCCUACGGGACGCAGCAGUGAGGAAUAUUGGUCAAUGGGCGGAAGCCUGAACCAGCCAAGUCGCGUGAGGGAAUAAGGCCCUACGGGUCGUAAACCUCUUUUGCCGGGGAGCAAGGGCGGGGACGUGUCCCGGCCCGGAGAGUACCCGGAGAAAAAGCAUCGGCUAACUCCGUGCCAGCAGCCGCGGUAAUACGGAGGAUGCGAGCGUUAUCCGGAUUUAUUGGGUUUAAAGGGUGCGUAGGCGGUCUUGCAAGUCAGACGUGAAAACCACAGGCUCAACCUGUGGACUGCGUUUGAAACUGUGG